UACGUAGGGGGCAAGCGUUAUCCGGAAUUACUGGGUGUAAAGGGUGAGUAGGCGGCAUGGUAAGCCAGAUGUGACAGCCUUGGGCUUAACCCGAGGAUUGCAUUUGGAACUAUCAAGCUAGAGUACAGGAGAGGAAAGCGGAAUUCCUAGUGUAGCGGUGAAAUGCGUAGAUAUUAGGAAGAACACCAGUGGCGAAGGCGGCUUUCUGGACUGAAACUGACGCUGAGGCACGAAAGCGUGGGGAGCGAACAGG
rnacentral:rRNA from 1 species